rnacentral:rRNA from 1 species
AUUGAACGCUAGCGGGAUGCUUUACACAUGCAAGUCGAACGAGUGGCGGACGGGUGUGUAAUAUAUCUGAACGUGCCCAGUAGCUGGGGAUAACUACUCGAAAGUGUGGCUAAUCCCGCACACUUUUGGCUCGGCCGAUGUCGGAUUAGCUAGUUGGUGGGGUAAAGGCUAACCAAGGCCACGAUCCGUAGCUGGUUUGAGAGGAAGACCAGCCACACUGGAACUGAGACACGGCCCAGACUCCUACGGGAGGCAGCAGUGGGGAAUUUUGGACAAUGGGGGAAACCCUGAUCCAGCCAUCCCGCGUGUGUGAGAAGGCCUUCGGGUUGUAAAGUACUUUUAGCAGAGAAGCGGUAUCUGCAGAAUAAGCACCGGCUAACUACGUGCCAGCAGCCGCGGUAAUAC